AUUAAUAAGCGGAGGAAAAGAAACUAACGAGGAUUCCCUCAGUAACGGCGAGUGAAGCGGGAAAAGCCCAGCACCGAAUCCCCUGCCGUAAUCGGUGGCGGGAACUGUGGUGUUUCGGACAGCCCAUGGGGAUCGGUCGGGAGUCUGAGUCCUCCUGAUCGGGGCUUCACCCAGAGCGGGUGUCAGGCCUCUACGGCGCCCGGCCGGUUCUCUCGGGUCGUCCCAGGAGUCGGGUUGUUUGAGAAUGCAGCCCAAAGCGGGUGGUAAACUCCAUCUAAGGCUAAAUACAGACACGAGUCCGAUAGCGCACAAGUACCGUGAGGGAAAGUUA
rnacentral:rRNA from 1 species